rnacentral:sRNA from 1 species
AACUCAGAUGCUGAACGUGAAGGAUAACGUUGCGUCAGCAACGGCCCGAAGGGCGAGGCAAAGCCGAGUCAUCCUGCACGACCUACCA